UCUCUACAAGGAAAAAAGAAACAUUGAUUUCACUUUUUCAUUCUCUUAAAAACAGGCUGUAACUGGUAUACGAAAAUAAUUAUUGUUUCCUUUUCAAAGGCAGUCGCAAAGCACAUUCAUUCUGUAAUCUAAACCUCCACUCUGUUUUAGUCUGUUGAAAGACUGCAACUUGUUAGGUUUGGUGGAAACAGAAAAAGAGAGGAAGGAAGGGUAUAGGAAAUGUUUUACCUACCUUGCUGCUAUUAAAUAAACCACUCCUGUUACCCAAGCUGUUUUGGACUUGGAAACAUACAUUAUUACUAUCUGUUAUUUACUGACGAUGUGAUCAGAGCUGCACAAGGCACAAGGCGAUACAAUCCCAGCUCUGAAUACCUUAGAAAAUUAAAUGAGAGGCAAAGAAGACAGGGUGCACUGAGAACCCCAGAAGAAAGGGAUCAUUUGAGUGGCUUCCUCUCCCUGGUGAUGUGGAUGCCAGCUGCUUUGGGAUGGGGAAGAGGAGGGGAAAGAAAAUGCCUUCAUAAAGGACAUUGGUCUACAUGUGCAAUACUCAGCAAUUAGAAUCCCCAUGUGUGUGAAUAUGGGCUAACACAUCAGCACAUUUCUAUUUUGAAAUGAAGAGCAGCAGCCUUGAGUUGGCACUGAAGAUGAAAAGAGAAUGAAGCUUUAUUCUGAACGAUGAUCUUGCAAUUGUGCUUCUGAAAGAGAAAGUGUUUCUGUUUGCAUGAUGUUUAGUGAAAGGGACUUUGUGGAGUUUUGUGGCUUCAUGGAGGCAUCCCAUAACCCCCCCACCCCAAAAGAUGAAACAUGACACGUUCUUUGUAAGGGAUCCAAGAAUCCUACUUCUAACUCAGAGAUUUCAUAUGUAUGUAAUCAACUUUUAUUGGUUCAGUGAGGAUGAAGCUUCCCCCUCCAAUCUGAGCACAAUACAAAGUUUGACAGUGUCAUUAAUAAAGGACUGUAUGGCUCAGGCAAACUGGGAAGUUUGUGUAAGUCCUUUUCUUGGUGCUUUCA